ACUGCCAAAUGUAUCUCAAUGGGGCCUGCAUAUGGGAAUAAAGCUAUUGCAUUCAGUUCGGCUCUUACCGCCGAAAUUCAACGGGGUUAUUCCGACGUUGGUCGGACCCGAGCAGGCUCUGGUUAUGGAACAAAAAGUGAAUACCCUAUUAGGGAAGGAGGCCAUCGAGGUGGUCUCUCCUCAAGACAGGGAAUCCGGGGUUUUACAGCCGGUAUUUCACAAGUUCCAAGGAAGGAUGAGGGGGUUGCGUCCGAUCAUAGACCUGCGGGUCUUAAAUCGAUCAGUUAUGAGACUGAAGUUCAAGAUGCUCACGAUCAAGCAUGUUGUAGCGCAGAUCAGGUCCGAGGACUGGUUUGUCACAAUAGAUCUCAAAGAUGCAUACUUCCACAUAUCCAUCCUUCCACAACACAGGAAGUUUCUGAGGUUCGCUUUCGGGGGCGAAGCGUACCAAUAUUGAGUACUUCCGUCCAGCCUUGCACUCUCACCCAGCACGUUUACGAAGUGCGUGGAUGCUGCUCAAAUGGCUCCACUGCAACUGCGGGGCAUCCGCAUACUAAAUUAUAUCGACGAUUAGUUGAUUUUAGCUCAAUCAGAGCAGAUGGCGGUUCGACAUCGAGAUGUCGUUCUCGCCCACAUGGGGGAGCUGGGUUUGAGACUGAACGCCAAGAAGAGUGUACUUUCUCCAGUUCAGAGAACCACCUAUCUAGGCGUAGUAUGGGAUUCGACCGCGAUGCAGGCACGAUUGUCCCCUGCUCGUAUCGAGUCGAUCCUCAUCUCAGUCGAGAGUCAAAGAAGGCCAGCCACUCACUGUCAAACAAUUUCAGAGAUUGUUGGGUCUGAUGGCAGCUGCGUCCAACGUAUCGACGAUUAGUUGAUUUUAGCUCAAUCAGAGCAGAUGGCGGUUCGACAUCGAGAUGUCGUUCUCGCCCACAUGGGGGAGCUGGGUUUGAGACUGAACGCCAAGAAGAGUGUACUUUCUCCAGUUCAGAGAACCACCUAUCUAGGCGUAGUAUGGGAUUCGACCGCGAUGCAGGCACGAUUGUCCCCUGCUCGUAUCGAGUCGAUCCUCAUCUCAGUCGAGAGAGUCAAAGAAGGCCAGUCACUCACUGUCAAACAAUUUCAGAGAUUGUUGGGUCUGAUGGCAGCUGCGUCCAACGUGAUACCUUUUGGCCUGCUGUACAUGAGACCCCUACAGUGGUGGCUCAAGACCAAGGGAUUUUCCCCGAGGGGCAAUCCACUUCGAACUAUCAAGGUCACGCGGCGCUGCCUCCGUGCCUUAGACAUGUGGAAGAAACCUUGGUUCUUGAAUCAGGGCCCAGUGCUGGGAGCUCCUGGUCGCCGUGUAACACUAGCGACGGAUGCUUCCCUCACUGGUUGGGGUGCGGUCAUGAGUGGCCACCCUGCCCGCGGUCUGUGGAGCGGUCGCCAUCUGACAUGGCAUAUCAAUUGUCUAGAAAUGCUAGCAGUUUAUCGUGCACUGAAGCACUUCCUCCCAGACCUAAGGGAUCACCAUGUGUUGGUGCGCACCGACAACACAUCGGUGGUCUCUUACAUCAACCACCAGGGAGGUCUGCGUUCGCGCCCCUUGUACAAGCUGGCGCACCAGAUCCUUGUGUGGUCCCAGGGCAAACUCCUCUCACUCAGAGCAGUAUAUAUUCCUGGGAAACUGAAUGUGGGAGCAGACAUACUGUCGAGGCAGGGGCCGAGGCCCGGGGAAUGGAAGCUUCACCCAGAGGUGGUGGAGCAGAUAUGGAGAAUUUUUGGCAGAGCUCAAGUAGACCUCUUUGCAACUCAGGAGACAGCACAAUGUCCCCUUUGGUUCUCUCUAGUUCAUCCAGCUCCCCUGGGACUGGACGCUAUGGUACAGACCUGGCCGAGGCUUCGUCUGUACGCAUUUCCCCCUAUUGCUCUGCUCCCGGGAGUUCUGGCGAGAGUACGCCGGGACGGGGUCCGUCUAUUGUUAGUAGCCCCGUUCUGGCCGGGCCGAGUAUGGUUCGCAGAUCUGGUCUCGCUCCUCGACGGCUCUCCUUGGGAGAUACCGAUCAGGACAGACCUACUCUCACAGGCGCAGGGCACGAUAAUUCACCCUCGCCCGGAGCUGUGGAAGCUGUGGGUGUGGCCCCUGAGGGGGCGCAGUUCAUAGCAUCCGGUCUCUCAACCGAGGUUGUUGAGACCCUCCUCCAAUCCAGAGCUCCCUCAACGAGGAAACUGUACGCCCUGAGGUGGAAACUCUUCACCUCAUGGUGCAGAAACCGCCAGCUAGACCCAGUAAACUGCCCAGUCGGUACAGUUCUGGAGUUCCUACAGGCCAGGUUCUCUGCAGGGUUGACCCACUCCACGUUGAAGGUCUACGUGGCGGCCAUUGCGGCCUACCACGCCCUUCUCGAUGGUCAGUCUUUGGGAAGACACCCAUUAGUUACACGUUUCCUCCGCGGUGCGCUGAGGCUGAGACCUCCAGUACGGUCCCGUAUUCCCCCGUGGGACUUGGUUGUGGUGCUAGAGGCCUUGUGCAGACCUCCAUUUGAGCCUAUUCAAGAUAUUUCAGACAGACAUCUGACACUCAAAACCGCCUUUCUGUUGGCCAUUACCUCUCUGAGGAGAGUAGGAGAUUUGCAGGCCCUCUCAGUGGCCCCUACAUAUCUGGACUUUGCACCUGGCAUGACCAAAGCGUUCAUAUACCCUCGAGCGGGAUAUGUUCCUAAGGUCCCCUCUGUCACACCACAACCUGUAGUGCUGCAGGCUUUCUGUCCUCCUCCCUUUCGGGAGCCCGACCAAGAGAAGCUAAACUGUAUGUGUCCAGUUCGAGCACUGGACGCAUACGUCCACAGAGCUGCCCUGUGGAGAAAAACAGACCAAUUGCUUGUAUGCUAUGGUCCCCCCAAGAGGGGUUCUCCUGCUUCUAAGCAGUCUAUUAGUCGUUGGAUAGUCGAGGCUAUCAACGCCACCUAUGAGUCCUCUGGUCGUCCCCCGCUGUUGGGAGCCAAGGCUCACUCCACACGGGGUAUGGCGGCCUCCAAGGCCUUUUUGGCAGGUGUAUCCAUGCUGGACAUCUGCAACGCUGCGGGGUGGUCCACGCCCUCUACAGUUGCAAGAUUUAUGGCUUAGACAUGCUAGUUACUCCAGGCGCUUCUGUCCUCUCGUCCUAAGCUGUGCUCUUCGGAUACACACUAG
ensembl:lncRNA